GAUCCUGGCUUAGGAUGAACGCUGGCGGCGUGCUUAACACAUGCAAGUCGAACGAAGCUAAGGGAGCUUGCUCCCAAAGCUUAGUGGCGGACGGGUGAGUAACGCGUGGGUAACCUGCCCUAUAGAGGGGGAUAACGUUCGGAAACGAACGCUAAUACCGCAUAAACCAUAAGGAGCUGCAUGGCUCUGAUGGCAAAGAUUUAUCGCUAUAGGAUGGACCUGCGUUGGAUUAGCUAGUUGGUGAGAUAACAGCUCACCAAGGCGACGAUCCAUAGCCGGCCUGAGAGGGUGAACGGCCACAUUGGGACUGAGACACGGCCCAAACUCCUACGGGAGGCAGCAGUGGGGAAUAUUGCACAAUGGGCGCAAGCCUGAUGCAGCGACGCCGCGUGAAGGAAGAAGGUCUUCGGAUUGUAAACUUCUAUCAGCAGGGAAGAAUAAAUGACGGUACCUGACUAAGAAGCCCCGGCUAACUACGUGCCAGCCGCCGC
rnacentral:rRNA from 1 species